rnacentral:rRNA from 1 species
AUACGUAGGGGGCGAGCGUUAUCCGGAUUUAUUGGGCGUAAAGCGUGUGUAGGCGGUUUGUUAAGUUUAAGAUUAAAGCCCGAGGCUUAACCUCGGUUCGCCUUAAAAACUGGCAGACUUGAGUGCAGUAGAGGCAAGUUGAAUUUCUAGUGUAGCUGUUAAAUGCGUAGAUUGUAAGAGGAACGACAGGGGGGAAGGGGGCUCUCUGGGCUGUUACAGACGCUGAGACACGAGAGCGUGGGGAGAAAAUAGAAUUAGCUCCCCGAUUAGCCCACGGUAUAAACGAUGAGUACAAAGUGUCGGGUAACCGGUGCUGCAGUUAACACAUUAAGGACUCCGCCUGUGUAGUACGGUCUCAAGGCGGAAACUCAAAGAAAUUGACGGGG